CCUAAACAGCACGCGUCUAGUCGGCCACGGUCUCUCCCUCAGAGACGCGCGCCUGGGUCUGACGCGUCUCCGGAAUGUCCAGCAACAAUUUGUCAAACAAAUUUCUGCAAACGUUGUUGCUGGACAUUCUGUUGCUUACACCCAGAAUAAACCUCACGUGCCGCAAUAUAAUUAAAAAGGUUAGUCUUAACCUUACAAGCAGUACUCAACAUCCGCCUGGAACACAGAAGUUCCUCCAGCAGCCAGUAGAGACGCAGUGAAGAAAUACUCGUCCUCGAGUAACCAACGCACUCUACUGGGAAACGAUCCGGCGACCUACUGCUCAUUUAUUGUUAGUUUUGAAUCGGCCCAAAAUACUGCUGACAUUACAGAUAUUUUUAUUUAAAUGAUUCCUAUUUUUUGUGUUCUGAUCUGUAUUUGUGUGGUGUCAGCAGUAUUCGUGCAUUCUACUCCUGUUUAAUUUAUUCCCGGACUGCAGCGACAUUAUGUGAACAACACUAGUCCUGGAAGUUGGCUUUAGGAAUGGAAACUACUAAAUGUGGAAGUAAAUAGCUUUGUUGCUCCACCGGGGCAAUUCUUGUGCGCUCGGUCCACACCGAAUGCACGCCCUUGCAGUGGGAGAUUUUUGCCGCGGCCCUAGGCCACAGUUCAGUGUGUAUUCCUCUUGGUUGUAAAUUCACAUUGAGGCCUAUAAGGGCUCGCGGACAUUUCCCUUCCUUCUCCCCUCUACUCAUUCUGUAGAAGGCUUUUGUCCUUCCCCCACCACACCUACCCAAAUCCCUUAUCCUAUUCUAUAUCCUACGUAUAACAUAGCGGAACCUCACUGUAUUAUUAAUGUUUUAAUGGAAUAAUAUAAUUUGCACACUGUCUCUGUAGAAUUAUUAUAUUCACUUGAAUAAAUAAUUAACGAACUAUGAUAUAUUCCGACAGAGCACCGGAUCUUGCUUCUUAAUGUAUAACCGCGUAGGAACAAUGUAAUCACUUAGAAAAAUAAAUGCUUCAGGUAAA